rnacentral:rRNA from 1 species
UACGGGGGGAGCAAGCGUUGUUCGGAUUUACUGGGCGUAAAGGGCGCGUAGGCGGUCAGCACAAGUCAGUUGUGAAAUCUCCGGGCUUAACUCGGAAAGGUCAACUGAUACUGUGCGACUAGAGUGCGGAAGGGGCAACUGGAAUUCUCGGUGUAGCGGUGAAAUGCGCAGAUAUCAGGAGGAACACCGGUGGCGAAGGCGGAUCUCUGGGCCUUACCUGACGCUCAGGCGCGAAAGCUAGGGGAGCGAACUGG